rnacentral:rRNA from 1 species
GGCCGCAGUAUUUUGACUGUGCAAAGGUAGCAUAAUCAUUAGUCUUUUAAUUGAGGGCUAGUAUGAAUGGUUGGACGAGGUAAAUUCUGUUUUAUGUUAAUUAAAUUGAAUUUAGGUUUUAAGUAAAAAAACUUAAAUAUUAUUAAGGGACGAGAAGACCCUAUAGAGUUUAAUAUUUAUAAUAGUUAAUUGAGUUAAAAAUUAAUUUUUGGUUUCUAUAAAGAAUAUUUAAUUGGGGUGAUUAGAAAAUAAAGUUAACUUUUCUUUAAUAUAAAUAUUUUAAUUAAUUAAAUGAUCCGUUUAUAAUGAUUAAAAGAUUAAAUUACCUUAGGGAUAACAGCAUAA